GUGAGGAAUAUUGGACAAUGGGCGCAAGCCUGAUCCAGCCAUACCGCGUGCAGGAAGACGCAUCUAUGGUGUGUAAACUGCUUUUGUACGGGAAGAAACACUCCCUCGUGAGGGAGCUUGACGGUACCGUAAGAAUAAGGAUCGGCUAACUCCGUGCCAGCAGCCGCGGUAAUACGGAGGAUCCAAGCGUUAUCCGGAAUCAUUGGGUUUAAAGGGUCCGUAGGCGGUUUAAUAAGUCAGUGGUGAAAGCCCAUCGCUCAACGAUGGAACGGCCAUUGAUACUGUUAGACUUGAAUUACAAGGAAGUAACUAGAAUAUGUAGUGUAGCGGUGAAAUGCUUAGAUAUUACAUGGAAUACCAAUUGCGAAGGCAGGUUACUACUUGUGGAUUGACGCUGAUGGACGAAAGCGUGGGGAGCGAACAGGAUUAGAAACCCCAGUAGUCC
rnacentral:rRNA from 1 species